rnacentral:rRNA from 1 species
GACGAAGGAUGCAAGCGUUAUCCGGAUUCAUUGGGUUUAAAGGGGGCGUAGGUGGCCUUAUAAGUCAGUGGUGAAAUCUCUGGGCUUAACCCAGAAAUUGCCAUUGAUACUGUAGGGCUUGAGUAUAGUUGCCGUUGGCGGAAUAUGACAUGUAGUGGUGAAAUACAUAGAGAUGUCAUAGAACACCGAUUGCGAAGGCAGCUAACGAAACUAUAACUGACACUGAGGCUCGAAAGUGCGGGGAUCAAACAGG